CAAUAGCGUAUAUUUAAGUUGUUGCAGUUAAAAAGCUCGUAGUUGGAUUUCGGGUGGGACGCAGCGGUCUCGCAUUGCGUUUGUACUGCUGCAGCCCUCCUUCUUGCCGGGGGCGGCCUCUCGGACUUCACUGUCUGGGGGUCAGAAUCGGCGAUGUUACUUUGAGUAAAUUAUAGUGUUCAAAGCAAGCUUACGCUCUGAAUAUAAUAGCAUGGGAUAACACGACAGGACUCUGGCCUAUCGUGUUGGUCUAUAGGACCAGAGUAAUGAUUAAGAGGGACAGUCGGGGGCAUUCGUAUUCCGUUGUCAGAGGUGAAAUUCUUGGAUUUACGGAAGACGAACAUCUGCGAAAGCAUUUGCCAAGGAUGUUUUCAUUGA
rnacentral:rRNA from 1 species